AUUGAACGCUGGCGGCAUGCCUUACACAUGCAAGUCGAACGGCAGCACGGGAGCAAUCCUGGUGGCGAGUGGCGAACGGGUGAGUAAUGUAUCGGAACGUACCUUUCAGUGGGGGAUAACGUAGCGAAAGUUACGCUAAUACCGCAUAUUCUGUGAGCAGGAAAGCAGGGGAUCGCAAGACCUUGCGCUGAUUGAGCGGCCGAUAUCAGAUUAGCUAGUUGGUGAGGUAAAGGCUCACCAAGGCGACGAUCUGUAGCGGGUCUGAGAGGAUGAUCCGCCACACUGGAACUGAGACACGGUCCAGACUCCUACGGGAGGCAGCAGUGGGGAAUUUUGGACAAUGGGCGCAAGCCUGAUCCAGCCAUGCCGCGUGAGUGAAGAAGGCCUUCGGGUUGUAAAGCUCUUUCAGCCGGGAAGAAAACGCAUGGGUUAAUACCCUGUGUGGAUGACGGUACCGGAAUAAGAAGCACUGGCUAACUACGUG
rnacentral:rRNA from 1 species